AGGGGGUUAGUCCAAAAUAAAACCUCUGAAUUCGGCUCCAAAAAUUGGGGGUUAAGUCCACGAACCCCCU
rnacentral:tRNA from 1 species